UACGUACUGUGCGAACGUUAUUCGGAAUCACUGGGCUUAAAGGGUGUGUAGGCGGCCAGAUAAGUAGGGUGUGAAAGGCCCCGGCUCAACCGGGGCAUUGCGCUCUAGACUGUCUGGCUCGAGUGAGACAGGGGUGUGCGGAACUUCCAGUGGAGCGGUGAAAUGUGUUGAUAUUGGAAGGAACGCCGGUGGCGAAAGCGGCACACUGGGUCUUGUCUGACGCUGAGACACGAAAGCCAGGGGAGCGAACGGGAUUAGAUACCCCGGUAGUCCUGGCUGUAAACGAUGAGCACUAGACGGGAGGGGUCUUGCACCUUUCCGGUCGCAGCGAAAGCAUGAAGUGCUCCGCCUGGGGAGUAUGGUCGCAAGGCUGAA
rnacentral:rRNA from 1 species